rnacentral:rRNA from 1 species
GACGAACGCUGGCGGCGUGCUUAACACAUGCAAGUCGAACGGAAAGGCCCUGCUUUUGUGGGGUGCUCGAGUGGCGAACGGGUGAGUAACACGUGAGUAACCUGCCCUUGACUUUGGGAUAACUUCAGGAAACUGGGGCUAAUACCGGAUAGGAGCUCCUGCUGCAUGGUGGGGGUUGGAAAGUUUCGGCGGUUGGGGAUGGACUCGCGGCUUAUCAGCUUGUUGGUGGGGUAGUGGCUUACCAAGGCUUUGACGGGUAGCCGGCCUGGGAGGGUGACCGGCCACAUUGGGACUGAGAUGCGGCCCAGACUCCUACGGGAGGCAGCAGUGGGGAAUAUUGCACAGUGGGCGGAAGCCUGAUGCAGCAACGCCGCGUGCGGGAUGACGGCCUUCGGGUUGUAAACCGCUUUCGCCUGUGACGAAGCGUGAGUGACGGUAAUGGGUAAAGAAGCACCGGCUAACUACGUG